rnacentral:sRNA from 1 species
UUGGAGACUUAACCUCAGCUACACGACA